AACAGUGUGGUCUAAGGAAAAGAGCACUGACUUGGGAAUCAGAGCCCCUGGGUUCCAAUCCCGGCACUGUCA
rnacentral:tRNA from 1 species